GGUGAACGCUGGCGGCGUGCCUAAUACAUGCAAGUCGAACGAGAGUGCUUGCACUCUAGUGGCGAACGGGUGAGUAACACGUAGGCAACCUGUCCCAAAGACGAGGAUAACAGUUGGAAACGACUGCUAAUACUCGAUAGGUAAUAAGAAGGCAAUCUUCAUAUUAUUAAAGAUCCGUAUGGAUUACUGUGGGAGGGACCUGCGUCGCAUUAGCUAGUUGGUAAGG
rnacentral:rRNA from 1 species